AUGUGAAGGCAGUCUGGCUGCGACAUCUGUCACCCCAUUGAUUGCCAGGGUUGAUUCAGCUGAUCUGGCUCCAAUAUGGGUGUCCCUUCCUUUCUUAUCACUCCAUGUGCAUCCCCUCCCUAAGCUGCAUGCUCAGUUGAAGAGGGCUACCUACCCCAAAUAGAGACAGACCAGUUUUCGUCUUUGGUCUAGGGUAUAGGAGUAGUUGCACUUCCCUGCUAGAAUCUCCAAACAAACUCUCAAAUCCCUAGAUUCCACAUAUGUGUGAAAACAUCUGGUAGUUGUCCUUCAUCUCUUUGCUUAUUUCGCUAAGCAUACCUCCAGUUCCGCUCAUAUUG
rnacentral:snRNA from 1 species